GCCGGUGGUCGCCUGCACCGCCUGCUUGUGCCGGAAGUCCGGCCGGAGGUGCUUUUGCCGGCGUCUUCUUCUUCUGGCAACCUCGCCCGCGACCUACUGAUGUUGGCCACCACUCGAAGCCGCUGCAUCCAGGUGAAGCCUCUCUCCUCCUCUUAUUCCAUCUGUUCUUGCUAAAAUUUGUAGCUUUUCUCCCGUUGAACGUGUAGAGGAAGUCACAAGCAUCUGAAUAUUGUUCAGUCUGUUAGAUAGUGUUGUUCAGCUGAGCUAUUCUUCAGGUCACGCCUAAACUAAUUGUUAAACAAUUGACGGAUGUAUGCCCAUUUAGCAGGAACGGAUGUACAGGAUUUUUAAUGUGUUCCAGCCUUCCAUGUAUAUAUCAGUCCUUGUAUGCAUAAGAUAAAUUUUCGAUCUGACAGGACAAUAUAAUGUCACCAAGAAUUUUAAUAAAAAUCCAAUUUUGAAUGUCUAUGUUCAUUGAUUUUGUCUCCGGUUCCUUAUGCUGCCGGGUGUGUGUGGAUGCACCAACAAGUGAGCGGUUCCGCAGCUCUUUUAUGUGUUUAAAAUUAACCAAAAUAGCAAACUAAUUCCUAGUACCUCUAGGUUGCAUCUGUUUGUGUGUGAGUCGACACUCUACAGUCUACAUGUACACGUAUAGAAAUUAGCCUAGUAUGUCCAUGUCUAUUAGUUAUCCAUACCUUGCUUGCAAAGCCUAUCUAGUGUAACAUGCUCUCAGCAUGUAUAUGCAGCAGAUAGACUAGGUACCCUCGUAGUAUGAGUUUGUUGCUAAUCUGUUGUAGUACGAGUGUAUUUUCCCCUAUCUCCUUUACCUAUUUAUUACCUCAUCGUGGAAGAAUACAGUCAUUGGUUCUCCAUCUCUUGUAGUUUAUUUGCUUCCUGUUACAUUAAUCUACAUGCUCAGACUUUUCCCAUUUUAAUAUUCAGAGUUCUGCACUUACAGGAUCACUCACGGCAAGAGAUCGAACAGCUGCGGCGUUUGACGGUGGGCUGCGGGAGGGGCUCUCUGUGUUGCCGAGAUGGUGGCGGGGAGGCACUGAUCACGAAUCAGUGUUCCCCUGCCCUGGCUGCUGCUCCCUGCAGUAUGGCCGGAGCUGCUGCCGCUGGCGUCUUCCGGCAACCACACCAUCUUCUACUGCCGGCCUGCACUCUGAGCUGCUACUGCCUCGUGAGGCAAAGCAUGAAGCUUUUUUGCUAAUAACCACAAUGAUCAGCGUACUGUUGAUAAAAGUGGGAACAUAAUCCCUGGCACUGUUAUUGAUUCGAAGAAUUGCCAUCAUGCAGAGUUUGAUUUCUAUUUGUGUAGUCAUGCUGGCAUUCAGCUGCAUGUUGUUGCAUGAUUGAAAGCUCUCUCUUUCCUUUAAUGUCCUCUGCUCCAAGUGCAAGGGCAAUGGCUCUAAGUCUGGUGCUUCCAUGAGCUGGCUAGGUUGCCAGAGUUCAGGCAUGAAAGUGACUAUCCACAUCUGGAGCCUUCCAUGAUACGGCAGAUGUAAAGUCUGGCAGUGUCUUGGGUUCUUUUCCGCUAGCAGGCUGCUAGUAGAGAUGCUCUUGUGGUGGGUUUUGUUAGUUUGUGUAUAUAUGGCCAUGUGAUGGCAACUGCCCUGCCUUGACAUGGACUGUUUCUUCACAAGCGAUUCAGCUUUGGUAUGUCAUGGGAUGGCUAGGAGCUUUGAACUCUUCAAAAUUGCAGGCAGUGUGUCAGGUUCAUUUCCCCUAGCAGGCUGCCAGUAGAGAUGCUGUUGUGGUGGAUUUUGUUAGGUGGUGUAUAUAUUAUGUCCAUUCGAUAGCAGCUGCCGCUGCCCUCCCCUGCCUUGACAUGAGUUGUUUCUUUCUUCACAAGCGAUUCAGGUUUGGUAUGUCAUGGGAAGGCUAGGAGAUUUCAACUCUUCAAAUUUGGUGUUUGUUGGAGGCUUUCCCCAGUUCCUGUACUACUGGUUUUUACAAUGAACGAAUUUGAUGAGAAGAGUUGUGGUGUUGAUAAUUGGUUGUAGAAUGUAGACAGACAGUUAACACCUUGUUUUGAUUGGUUAUACUAGGUAGGAACAAGUAAAUCCGUAGCUGGUAUGCUUAUUACUGGAUCAUUGAUUUCUUGUCUCCCGGGGACACUUGCAUACUUAUCUGAUGCGUCAUCAUAUGAAACUGCAGACUCUUGGCGGCGAGGAGGUGCUAGCCUUUGGAAGGUGUUUGUAUUUGCAGCAGGAUGAGGAAGGGUAUCGCUGGUACCAAGAUGGAUGGAUGCGUGGCAGUGUACGUAAUGUCCUGGUUUCGAUGGCUCUCUCACGGCUGCUGGUGUUUGUGUGGGCGACGUUCGAGGUCCGGUGGGUUCCUCCUUUUAUGGAUGUAUUAUGUGUAUAGAUGCAUACAAAUUUAGACAAACUUGUGACCCCCUCCCUUUUAUGGACGGAGGGAGUAGUUAAGUAACUGUACUCCCUUUAUUUCAAAAUGAAUAAGGUUCAAUUGUUUCUUCUUUGACUAAGAAUUACUUAUAAAAUAUACAAAGGUUUUUGGUA